GCGCCGAAUCGCUACACAGAGUCCAGAGAGGUUUCUGGAAGCUUCCACUCUUUUCCGGAAAUGCACAGGCUUAUAUAGGAGACAUCUGAUGAUCCACCACUGACUAUCACUCUCUCGUGAAGGAAGAAAAGAUUUUUAGGAAGAUCCAAGCAGUUUCCUCAGAGGUUCUACUGACCAACACUGAGCCCACAUCACCUCUAAAAACAAAGGAAGCUGGGAAAGGAGGAGAAGGUGUGCUUCGAGACAAGCAACAAACUCAGGAGUGGAGAUCUUUCUGAGCGGCUGUCAUGGCUCAUGAUCUGCCUGGCACAGGAGAUGAUUGUCCCACCUGUCCGGAUGAACGAGCAAAUGUUUCUAGACUCGCUCAGCUUCCUCAGCUCUCAGGCUGUCCACAGGCUCUGCCCCAGACCUGCAGCAGGAGGCUCCAUUAACUUGCUUGCAGGAGACAAAUUAUGACCGUUCAGUGUUUCAGAACGUCUGCUUUUCCAGGUAUGGCGGUGAGAAGCGGGAUCAAGUGAAAAAUGAGAAAACAGCGCAUUCUUCA